rnacentral:tRNA from 1 species
CAAAUUAGAGCUUGUGAAAGUUUUUCAUUUACAUUGAAAAGAAACUAAUAAUUAUUAGUUAAUUUGA